GACGAACGCUGGCGGCGUGCUUAACACAUGCAAGUCGAACGGAAAGGCCUCUUUCGGGGGGUACUCGAGUGGCGAACGGGUGAGUAACACGUGAGUAACCUGCCCUUGACUUUGGGAUAACUUCAGGAAACUGGGGCUAAUACCGGAUAGGAGCUCCUGCUGCAUGGUGGGGGUUGGAAAGUUUCGGCGGUUGGGGAUGGACUCGCGGCUUAUCAGCUUGUUGGUGGGGUAGUGGCUUACCAAGGCUUUGACGGGUAGCCGGCCUGAGAGGGUGACCGGCCACAUUGGGACUGAGAUACGGCCCAGACGCCUACGGGAGGAAGCAGUGGGGAAUAUUGCACAAUGGGUGGAAGCCUGAUGCAGCAACGCCGUGUGCGGGAUGACGGCCUUCGGGUUGUAAACCGCUUUCGCUCAUGACGAAGCUUUGUGUGACGGUAGUGGGUAAAGAAGCACCGGCUAACUACGUG
rnacentral:rRNA from 1 species